AGAGUCUGUCUGCGCGCCUGCGAGCUGCCUAAAUUGAUUGUAAUGGUUUUAUCACGCGCAGAAAGAGCUGGCUGUUUUCUCGCCUCUGCUGUCGGCUUUCAUAAACGCCCAGGCAGGAGGAAGUGAUUCCUCUUCGGGAGCACUGGAUCAGAUGAAAGGCAACUUUUGUUUGUUGGCGAGCAACUCGCAGCCUCCGCCAGUGCCUGUCUCCGGCCCUGCUCCAGGCCUCCUUGCUGGCUGUGCACACAGCAGAGACUCAGACAGCGUCCCCCGACUCACCCCACCCAACAAACAGCAGGGGGUGGGGGACUUGUUUCCGGAGCCAGUUCUGGGUUCAUCUCUGGAGGCUUCAGUGUCUGGGGCAGGGAGUUUCAAGGACGGAUUGGAUACAGAGAAGAGUUAAUCAAGAUGGCAAUGAUGAUCAACCAUGAAAACAAUGAAGGCGGAGUACCUACGGGCAGCUAUGAAUUCUGCAAAGGAAAUGAGAGGGGACAAACAGGACAAAGAGGCAGCGUGACCAGGCCACUGCGAGUCCUAUAUUUCAACAAGGGUAGGUCAGCCCAAAUGGCUUUCCUUAUCUGCUUGAAACAAUGGUAUGUUUUUCGUCUGAAAAAUCUCACCCAUGGUUGCAUUUCAUUGCACCUAGUAAAAUUUAAAGAAUUUAGAGGAAAAAACUUAAAGAAUCCCCCAAAUUAUUACAUUUUUGGAAGAAGUAUUACACAUAGGUUCUCUGAAACACUGUAUUUUUUCAUUGUCUCCCCUGCUCCCAAACAUGCAGGUGUUUGA
rnacentral:lncRNA from 1 species